rnacentral:rRNA from 1 species
AAAUUGAAGAGUUUGAUCAUGGCUCAGAUUGAACGCUGGCGGCAGGCCUAACACAUGCAAGGCGAACGGUAACAGAAAGCAGCUUGCUGCUUUGCUGACGAGUGGCGGACGGGUGAGUAAUGUCGGGGAAAAUGCCUGAUGGAGGGGGAUAACUACUGGAAACGUUAGCUAAUACCGCAUAAC